rnacentral:rRNA from 1 species
AUUGAACGCUGGCGGCAUGCCUUACACAUGCAAGUCGAACGCGAAAGCGGGGCAGCCCGCAAGUAGAGUGGCGAACGGGUGAGUAAUACAUCGGAACGUGUCCAGUAGCGGGGGAUAACCUCUCGAAAGAGAGGCUAAUACCGCAUACGUCCUACGGGAGAAAGAGGGGGAUCGCAAGACCUCUCACUAUUGGAGCGGCCGAUGUCGGAUUAGCUAGUUGGUGAGGAAAAGCUCACCAAGGCGACGAUCCGUAGCUGGUCUGAGAGGACGGCCAGCCACACUGGAACUGAGACACGGUCCAGACUCCUACGGGAGGCAGCAGUGGGGAAUUUUGGACAAUGGGCGCAAGCCUGAUCCAGCCAUGCCGCGUGAGUGAAGAA